rnacentral:rRNA from 1 species
CAGGUAGCAUACUGGGUGGCGACCGGCAAACGGGUGCGGAACACGUACGCAACCUUCCUUUAAGCGGGGAAUAGCCCAGAGAAAUUUGGAUUAAUACCCCAUAAGAAUGUGGAUUGGCAUCAGUCAGCAUUUAAAGAUUUAUCACUUAAAGAUGGGCGUGCGUCUGAUUAGGUAGUUGGUGAAGAU